rnacentral:rRNA from 1 species
UACAGAGGGGGCAAGCGUUGUUCGGAAUUACUGGGCGUAAAGGGCGCGUAGGCGGCCUGCUAAGUCGAACGUGAAAUCCCCGGGCUCAACCCGGGAACUGCGUCCGAUACUGGCAGGCUUGAAUCCGGGAGAGGGAUGCGGAAUUCCAGGUGUAGCGGUGAAAUGCGUAGAUAUCUGGAGGAACACCGGUGCGAAGGCGGCAUCCUGGACCGGCAUUGACGCUGAGGCGCGAAAGCCAGGGGAGCAAACGGG